CAGUAGCCGCGGGAAUACGGAGGAUCCAAGCGUUAUCCGGAUUUAUUGGGUUUAAAGGGUGCGUAGGUGGCCUGUUAAGUCAGGGGUGAAAGACGGUAGCUUAACUAUCGCAGUGCCCUUGAUACUGAUGGGCUUGAAUGAACUAGAGGUAGGCGGAAUGUGACAAGUAGCGGUGAAAUGCAUAGAUAUGUCACAGAACACCAAUUGCGAAGGCAGCUCACCAUGGUUUUAUUGACACUGAGGCACGAAAGCGUGGGGAUCAAACAGGAUUAGAUACCCCCGUAGUCCCUGUCUCUUAUAC
rnacentral:rRNA from 1 species